rnacentral:rRNA from 1 species
AUUGAACGCUGGCGGCAGGCCUAACACAUGCAAGUCGAACGGUAGCACAGAGAGCUUGCUCUCGGGUGACGAGUGGCGGACGGGUGAGUAAUGUCUGGGAAACUGCCUGAUGGAGGGGAUAACUACUGGAAACGGCAGCUAAUACCGCAUAAUGUCGCAAGACCAAAGAGGGGGACCUUCGGGCCUCUUGCCAUCGGAUGUGCCCAGAUGGGAUUAGCUUGUUGGUGAGGUAAAGGCUCACCAAGGCGACGAUCCCUAGCUGGUCUGAGAGGAUGACCAGCCACACUGGAACUGAGACACGGUCCAGACUCCUACGGGAGGCAGCAGUGGGGAAUAUUGCACAAUGGGCGCAAGCCUGAUGCAGCCAUGCCGCGUGUGUGAAGAAGGCCUUCGGGUUGUAAAGCACUUUCAGCGGGGAGGAAGGCGGUGAGUUUAAUAAGCUCACCGAUUGACGUUACCCGCAGAAGAAGCACCGGCUAACUCCGUGCCAGCAGCCGCCGUAA